GACGAACGCUGGCGGCGUGCUUAACACAUGCAAGUCGAACGGAAAGGCCCUGCUUUUGUGGGGUGCUCGAGUGGCGAACGGGUGAGUAACACGUGAGUAACCUGCCCUUGACUUUGGGAUAAGUUAAGGAAACUGGGGUUAAUACCGGAUAGGAGCCCCUGCUGCAGGGAGGGGGUUGGAAAGUUUCGGCGGGUGGGGAUGGACUCGCGGCUUAUCAGCUAGUUGGUGGGGUAGUGGCUUACCAAGGCUGUGACGGGUAGCCGGCCUGAGAGGGUGACCGGCCACAUUGGGACUGAGAUACGGCCCAGACUCCUACGGGAGGCAGCAGUGGGGAAUAUUGCACAAUGGGCGGAAGCCUGAUGCAGCAACGCCGCGUGCGGGAUGACGGCCUUCGGGUUGUAAACCGCUUUCGCCUGUGACGAAGCGUGAGUGACGGUAAUGGGUAAAGAAGCACCGGCUAACUACGUG
rnacentral:rRNA from 1 species